UGAACGCUACGGCAGGCUUAACACAUGCAAGUCGAGGGGUAACAGGAUCAGCUUGCUGAUCGCUGACGACCGGCGAACGGGUGCGUAACGCGUAUGCAACUUGCCCUAAACAGGAGGAUAGCCCGGGGAAACUCGGAUUAAUACUGCAUAAUAUCUUUUAUUCGCAUGUUUAAAAGAUUAAAACUUCGGUGGUUUAGGAUGGGCAUGCGUCCCAUUAGUUUGUUGGUGAGGUAAUGGCUCACCAAGACUACGAUGGGUAGGGGGCCUGAGAGGGUGAACCCCCACACUGGUACUGAGACACGGACCAGACUCCUACGGGAGGCAGCAGUGAGGAAUAUUGGGCAAUGGGUGAAAACCUGACCCAGCCAUGCCGCGUGCAGGAUGAAGGCCUUAUGGGUUGUAAACUGCUUUUUUAUAGGAAUAAACCUUUGGACGUGUCCGAAGCUGAAUGUACUAUAAGAAUAAGCACCGGCUAACUCCGUGCCAGCAGCCGCGGUAAU
rnacentral:rRNA from 1 species